UGGCGAACGGGUGAGUAACACGUGGGUGAUCUGCCCUGCACUCUGGGAUAAGCCUGGGAAACUGGGUCUAAUACCGGAUAGGACCAUGCUUUAGUGUGUGUGGUGGAAAGUUUUUUCGGUGUAGGAUGAGCCCGCGGCCUAUCAGCUUGUUGGUGGGGUAAUGGCCUACCAAGGCGGCGACGGGUAGCCGGACUGAGAGGUUGGUCGGCCACAUUGGGACUGAGAUACGGCCCUG
rnacentral:rRNA from 1 species